ACACAGCAUGCUUAGUAGCGGCGAGUGAAGCGGCAAAAGCUCAAAUUUGAAAUCUGGCACUUUCAGUGUCCGAGUUGUAAUUUGAAGAAGGUAUCUUUGGGUCUGGCUCUUGUCUAUGUUUCUUGACCACAGAACGUCACAGAGGGUGAGAAUCCCGUGCGAUGAGAUGUCCCAGACCUAUGUAAAGUUCCUUCGAAGAGUCGAGUUGUUUGGGAAUGCAGCUCUAAGUGGGUGGUAAAUUCCAUCUAAAGCUAAAUAUUGGCGAGAGACCGAUAGCGAACAAGUACAGUGAUGGAAAGAUGAAAAGAACUUUGAAAAGAGAGUGAAAAAGUACGUGAUAUUGUUGAAAGGGGGGGUCUUCAAAGCACCCUACGUGGUGUGGGGAAGCUCCCCCCCCGGGGUUGCCCACCCCGUGUGACGUGGGGUCCAAGAAUUAUGCGGGAGGCCCAGCCCAAAAAAAGGUGGCAUAGUUUCGAACGGGGACACGGAAUUGCCAAAUCUGAAUUUGAUUUUGAGGCCUCCCCCCCCCCUAAAAGGGAGUCCAGGGUGUUUUUUAAAAAACUUAAGGUUUGAACAAAAAAAGAUGAGUUUUU
rnacentral:rRNA from 1 species